rnacentral:rRNA from 1 species
AUUGAACGCUGGCGGCAGGCCUAACACAUGCAAGUCGAGCGAGCGGCGGACGGGUGAGAAAUAUCAGGGAAACUGCCUGAUGGAGGGGGAUAACUACUGGAAACGGUAGCUAAUACCGCAUACUAACAACUGUACACAGAUGGCAUUAGCUAGUAGGGGGGGUAACGUCCCACCUAGGCGACCAUACCUAGCUGGCCUGAGAGGAUGACCAGCAACACUGGAACUGAGACACGGUCCGGACUCCAACGGGAGGUAGCAGUGGGGAAGAUUGCACAAUGGGCGCAAGCCUAAUGCAGCCAUGCCGCGUGUGUGCAGAAGGCCUUCGGGUUGUAAAGCACUUUCAGCGGGGGGUCGUUACCAGCAGAAGAAGCACCGGCUAACUCCGUGCCAGCAGCCGCGGUAAUUC